ACAGUAACAGGGCAGCAAAGUCCUCUGGGGAAUGUAGUAGUUCUUCUCUUCUGAGAACCAGGUACAUACACCUCAUGAUGUUAUGAUGUGGAACACCAAUAACCAGAAAUCAUAAAACCAUGACAGGAGGUCUUUGCAGGAGCCAGACUGAAGCGUCUCCCUCACUUUCCCCUCCGUAGUUCACCACCCAGAUUUAUCAAGUGGAUGCAUAAGGUGCAUACAGUGGGAUUAAAUUACUUUAAUUUUUUUUAAAUGUCAUGUUGUCUUGUGUACAAGGCUUGUAAUUAGCUGGAAAAAGAGUAUUUUUCUAAUAUAUUACAGGAAUAGCCAAAUAAUUUUUAUUAAAAAAAAAAUGAUUUAGCGCAGUGAGCUCUAACUAGCAUAGUACAAUCCGAAUACUUUGAGGCAGCUAGGGAUUGGCUUGUCAAAGCUGGCACUGCUGUUCCUGCCAUAAUUUCUUUCUGCAGUAAAUUGCCAGUGAGCGCAUGUCCUUUCCCUCCCUCUAUUGCACAUUGACAUCAGUCUUAAAAGAGAGGAUUUUUAAUUUUUUUUUUCUUUUUUUUUUUGCCAAAUAAAUAUAAAAGGAACGCUUGCCAUUUUUUCUUGGUGGAAUGUCCUGACAGUUCCUCUGAGAGUUAAUCACAGCUUUUUAGUAAACCAUGAACUAAGUAUGCAACGUGCUUAUACACUAUAGAGUUCGGUAGGCUUAAUUUGUAGCAGUUGCUGGGGAUUUUUUGGUUGGGAAAAAAAAAAAGAACGAUAAUGCAAAAGGGAUGGAGUGUUACACUCUCGGUGAUGUGUCUGGGUUUGCUGAAUGAAAUAUAAAUAUUUUGUGCCUAAUAGCAGUUGACAAAUCUCUCAAUGGUGUCUAGUAAACAUCAAGCCAGCCUCGAAAAAAAUUUUAUGGAACAACCUUUUCCUUUUAUUUCUGUUCUCGGAGUUGUUUCAUGUAAACAAACAUCUGUAAGAUCUUCUCUCUAUAAAGCACAACACUACAAAAAAGAUCUUACAGUUUUUUGUCCGGUCUUGAAGUGCCCCUAUUUAUUUAAGUAAAGUAGACAUACUCCAAGCCUUUCUGUAUGUCUGGAAAUAAAAAUAAAAAUAAUAAUUAAAAAAAUCCCUCCCUUUUUUUUUUUUUUUUUUUUUUUUUGUUUUUCCUCCCUUCUUCUUCCUCCCUCUUUUCCUGUUGGGUUUUUGUAAUACUUGUAGAUUUUGCGCGUGUGUUAUUUGGUUUGUGAAGGCAGUGGUGUAAGGGCACAAUGAUAGAAAUGGGUGUUUUUUGUAAAUAUUUCUCCUUACUUUCCACACUGCUGCUGAACAGUGUGUAGCGUUCUCCCAGUCAGCUUUGCAAUACUGACAUCAAUCAUUCGAGAGAAAUUAUUCAGAUUUUAUUUUUGUAUCUGUGGUAACAAAACAUUAACCGAAUUUUUUUUCUGUCAUGGAAAUGUUUUUUUUUUUCCAAGCUAUCGCUCACAUUAACAAAUUAAAGUGCCUGAAGCCUCAUCAUUAUUGUAUCUAUAUACUAAAAGUUAAAACCCUGUUGUAUUGAUUUUUAUAAGCCUUUUUACCUCUGUGUAAAAAAUAUAUAUACAAGUGUAUGAUGUACAUUUUAGUUCUUAACUUCUUUUUUUAUUGUUUCUAAUAUGUAUGAUCAGUGUAGCUAUUGCUUUAAAAUGUACCAUGUAAAUAUAAAUACAUCAUAUCAAAACAAUGCUGUUGGUGUGGGGGUGUUUUUCAGGUGUCCUGGGCAUUUUCGGGAGAGCACCCCGUGGGUCGGCCUACCCCGGCGGCCAUGACAGCGGCUGGGCCUGCCCUUGGGUGUCAGCCACCCUCUGCCCCCUCAGCCUGCUGCCCACAGACACCCAAGUAGCCUUUUUUGCCCCAUUUUGACCAGUAUGACUUGAUUCAGCUUUUUGGGGCAGUGGGUGCUGCUGCACUUAGUUUCUCCCUUCAUGCAUGACUUCCUCACAGGUCCUCCUCCCAUACACUGCUUUGGGCAUACAGCACAGGAGCAUUUUUCUUUAUUCUGUGGGAAAAGAGUGGAAGGAAGAGGCUGGUAGCCAUGGCACGUUUUCAGUCCUUUUUCCUCACACCUUGCCCCCAGGUGAGGAAUGGGGCUGUGACGCCAUGUUAGCUCCCAAAUCUGUUUGCAAAACAGUCUGGACAUUUCCAGGUGCUCUGGAGAGCCCUGUAGGGAUCAAGAAGCCCAGCUCGUGUCCAGCUGUCCACAGAGAUGCUCAUCGCUGGAGCUGCUUGAUGCAGGCUGGCAGGAGGCAGACAGCUGGGCAGCUCCCCUGGGCAGCUCCACCUGCUGGCACCGUGCUCAUUCUCAGGGGGCAUUUACACUGGAAGACAGAAGAGAAGAACUCAGUGAACUCGGCCCAGAGGACACCAAGCUGCACCUGAUCGACUCAGAAGCCAGGGAAAAACAGUAAGUGUACCUGAUUUUUUUACAACUGUUUCCAAUGGGAGGCCCAGCGCUCUGCCUGUGGCUUUCCAGUCACAUAAAUUACCUCAGUGAUUGAAUUUGUCACAGCUUUGCUGAGAUUUCAAGUCCGCUUCUGCUUUAUAUUUGUAUUUAUGUAUUUCUGUAGAUGUAUGAUACAAGUAGAAUAUGCAUAUUUGCUAUAAUUUUUUUUGCAAAGCAAGUUUUAGCCAUGCACCUAAACCUUGCAGCCCUCUGGAGAAACGUGCAGCAUGGGCCUGGUGUUUUGCAUAGGAGGACUUCCGUGGCACACAAAAUCCUGCAGUCUGACUUGGCAUUAGCUUCAUCUGCAGAUAAAUGGAGAGCAAAGUGACCCUGACAGCCUACUCCUACCAUUCCUUAUGCUAUCUUGACAAAUUUGGGCAGGAAGCCUUCAGCUCCUGUAGCAGAAAUGCUGAGUCAUGGCCUGAACCAGUGAUGGUGCACCUGGUGGGAAGGCAGGGCCAACCCAGGGGAGCUCAGCUGCAUGCAGUGCACCUGAGGGUUGGAGUCAUUAUCCACCCCUUCCCAGGCCUCGUUGAAGGGCUGGCAGUAGAGGUGAGAGUAUCUUGCUGGAGAUCCUUGUGUACCCGAAGACUUCUAAAGCUGAACCGGCUCAGGAGCAAGUGGACCUGCGUGCCUGGGAAGUGGCUGCUGCUACCAGAGAGCGAUUUUCUCAAGGCUGACCCAAGGCAUGGAACUGACUCCAGACGGGGUGAAGAUCUCCAUUUCCUUAUUCCUCUGAAAAGCAGGGCCUGAAUUUAAAAGGCUGCUUAACACUUUGAAGCCACCCACAGUUCUGUCUUUGCCUCCCACACAAACUCCAAGGAACUGACUCAUUCCCACCGUAUUUUCAGCUGCGCGUAGAUCCUGCUCUCAGCCAGGAAGAUCCCCAUGCAGCCAAGCGAAUGAAGUGCACAUUGUGACUUCAGUUAGCUGGGCUUGAAAGGGUUUCUCUACGCCGACUAACAGUCAACAGUGUCUGAAGGCAUCUGGCCCGCUCUAAAGUAGAGUAGGAACCAUAUUCUUUGGUUAGCUGUGUAAUUUAUGCCUUGUCUGCUGCUCCCUGCUCAUGAUGCUUCCUUAUGUUGACUGUUAAAUAGCUGUCUGUGAAAAUAAGUGAUGCUGUCAUCUGCUGUUAAAUGGAAAGAAGUCUGCUCUAUGAGCAUGCACUCACCUCUCUUCUCCCCCUCUCUGUGGCAAACAUGUUGCCUCUCUCUCUGUGGGGAUUCUGCUUUGGGUUUUGCAGUGCUUUAAGAACGUGAGCAACACGCACAGCUCUCGGUGGUUCCUAACUCCGAAAAAGCAGCAAGCCUUUCUUGCAAGGGGAGACACUGUGCU